rnacentral:rRNA from 1 species
UGGUGGAGCGAUUUGUAUGGUCAAUUCCGAUAACGAACGAGACUCUAGCCUACUAAAUAGUUCGGGGACCCCCACAAAGGGGCCCCGCUUCAACUUCUUAGAGGGACAGGUGGCGUUUAGCCACACGAGAUUGAGCAAUAACA